rnacentral:lncRNA from 1 species
CCUAAGCAGGCUACAGCAAGACUUAGAAGGCCUAUUGACUUUACAGCUUGGACCAGAAGCAGCUACUGAUCAGUUGAGAUGUUGUUUUUGACGAGACAACUCUCUAUAAGGAUUAUCUCUCGUCACGCACUCAAGGUACUCACUCUGAUGAGCAAACUAAUCCAGGAUGGCUGCAGUUGCUAGAAGAUGAGGAACCCCAGCUGCCAAAGUUUUUCCUCAACUUCCAAUAACUCCUAGCACAAAGGCUAGCGAUAGCUCUCCUCCAGACCACUUUCUUCCAUGGUAAGUUUUCCAGGCGGCUCCUCCGUCUCCAAAAGCUUCAAGCUCUUCAAGCCCAGUGCUUCGGGUGCUUAAGCGUUUCCGACAAGUCACGCGAUCAGGACGCAGAAGCUAAUCCGCAGCUCAGCCGACUCCAUCUGAGAGCUCUUCUUGUCCAAAACAGUAGCCAUGGCUGACUCUGCUACAAAGAUCUCCUUGAUCUUUUGUACCAGAGUUCGAGAUAUCAGCCAUGGCUACUGUCUGGGGUUCCAGGUGCUGAGAGAUGAACGACAGGUAUUCUUCACGUUGCUGAAAUUCUCGGGUAAACACUUUGGAAUAUUUGCCUUUCUUUUUCUUUCUCUCUUGACUCAUUUUUGGCUCUCUCCCUGGCUCAGGUUACGAGCAAACCUUUGGAAACAAGUUGAGGCAAUUGAAGGCUGCCAAGCAGCACGCCUGGCCAUGGCUCGACGAGGCUCUAGCUUUGCAUUGCUCUAGCUUUUUCUUCAUCCUUCUUUUUUAUCUAGGAUCCAGUCAAUGUGGAGUCAGAGUGAGAUAGCAUUUAUUCUUUCUGGUUUUUUCUCUCGGCCUGAUGCUCGUGAGUUUCUCUUUCUCGCGUUUUCGC